GAUGAACGCUGGCGGCAUGCCUAACACAUGCAAGUCGAACGGCAGCGCGGAUGGGGUAACCUAUCUGGCGGCGAGUGGCGGACGGGUGAGUAAAAUGUAGGAAUCUGCCUUGAGGAAGGGGAUAACUUGGGGAAACUCAAGGUAAUACCAUAUAAGCCCUACGGGGGAAAGCAGGGGACCGCAAGGCCUUGCGCCUUAAGAUGAGCCUACAACGGAUUAGCUAGUUGGGGGGGUAAAGGCCCACCGAGGCGACGAUCUGUAGCUGGUCUGGGCGGAUGACCAGCCACACUGGGACUGAGACACGGCCCAGCCUCCUACGGGAGGCAGCAGUGGGGAAUAUUGGACAAUGGGGGGAACCCUGAUCCAGCAAUGCCGGGUGUGUGAAGAAGGCCUUAUGGUUGUAAAGCACUUUAAGCGAGGAGGAGGCUUACCUAGUUAAUACCUGGGAUAAGUGGACGUUACUCGCAGAAUAAGCACCGGCUAAUUCUGUGCCAGCCGCCGCCGUAA
rnacentral:rRNA from 1 species